rnacentral:lncRNA from 1 species
UAGGAUCACCAAUGAAACCACAGAACUACACAGAAUGGAACUAACAUUCUCCAUGUAUGAAGUAGGUUUGGAAAAGGAACUGAACGGCAAGCUGCAAGCUCACCUUUGCCAUGCAAGGGUAAUGUGGGUGCUUUAACUUAGUCUGUGAGAGGGAAGAGGGUGUUUCAUAAAAAUCUUACAGAUCGUUAUAUAUUUUAUAGAAUGCAAUAACGACAAAUGAUAAAGUUAUAGGAAAAAUCCUAAUCUUAGCACUUAGGAAGUGAAGGCAGAAAGGUAAGUAGUUCAGAGACAUCCUUGACUACUUGGAGAUAGCCUGGGCUACACACAAACACAAAGGAAAAAGAAAUGCCUAGCCAGUUAAUAAAAGAAAAUACUCAUUUAAAUUUUUAAAAAGCUAGCUCGUUCAUUUUUAAAUGAAGUCCUUUCAGAAAAGAAUCUUCGUCCCUCUUGCCGUUAUUAACAAGUGGUACUGUAGACAAGGAGUACUGGAAAGUUAAUUCUGAGUCUGACAACAUAUGAUUCCAGAUUAGGAAAAGUUAGCUCAUAGAGCUCAGAAGCAAUUGAUAAAAACCAAUCCCACAGCCCUCAGCCCAACAGCCCCUAACCUCAUAGUCUUCAGCCCCAUAGCCCCAACCCCAUAACCCCCAACCUCAUAGUCCCCAACUCCAUAGCCACUAACUCCAGAGGCUUCAGCCCCAUAGCCCUCAAAUUUGCAAUAAAAUCUAAAACUUCUGUAUGUGCAAACCUA